rnacentral:misc_RNA from 1 species
AGAAAAGUGAAAUGCCUAAUUGUGCAAGUUUCCUGAUGAUGCUCCUGAAUAGAGUUUCCUUUGAAUUUCUCUAAUAAAAUUGUUAGUGAAUUAGGAUAGAGCUUCCUUUGUUUUUGAAGGCAUAGUUAUUUCUGAAGGGAAAACUAUUUGACCAAAUCCAAAAAAGUGAAUAUUAGUUUGCUACUUUGUGUGUGUACAUUUUUCUCCAAUUGGAGCCCCCUCUAGCCAUAGCA